GGCCUGAGUGCGCGUUCUUCCGUUCUUGGCCACGCCUGCUGGCGCGGGAUCUCGGCCGAGGUAGUGGUUCUCGCGAUAUCCUCGCCCCCUGCUGGUGACGCGAGACUUUCUGAGUAGGCGGGGAGAAUUGAGUCUUGGUCUCGCUUCGCCGGAUUUGCACUCGGCGUGUGACGAGUCGUGCGACCCAUCUUCGAGGAAAAGCAAAACAAACGUGGGAGAGUGGUGAACAGUGGAUAAGGGAAGAAAUCAUGUCAGUUUCUCAAUAUUAACUGGCUAAGGUGACUCUCCUCACUCUCCUUCAAUAAUCUCAAAGCUG